CGCUCUCAUAUCUGCUCUUUGUGAUUCCCAACGCUGUAAACGUGGCCUCCCAGAAACGAUUGCGUUAGUCUCCUCGAUUGUAACGAUUCGGGGAAACAUCGGCGGCGAAACAUGAACCGUGGGUUCGAGGAAUUUAGCGCAGAAAUGAGACGUUACGUUGCUUUCCCUUCCACCUUGGUUUGUAUCAUGCCCAACAUGGCGCAGGUGCUUACCCGGGGAGCCAGGAUGCAGCCAGGCCUGUCCGUUCGUUCGUCUGACCGUCGUGCAACUCAACCUGAAACCGGAAGCGCCGCUUUCUGCCCUGCUGCCCACGAACAAUGAGAUCGAGAGAGAUUCCUGAGAGGACGUGAGCACGAUCGAACCACGAGGUGUUUUAUCAACAGCGGAGAUCGAAAAUAUUCAUUUCUCCAGUUGAAAACCUACGAAUUGAAACGUCACGUCCAGUUGUACUUGGAAUCGAGUCGAUUCCUUUCUUCCUUCCUAUGUUACUAAAAAGCAUGCAAAAAAAUUGGAAAUUCUAUAAAUAUAUCCUUUGUUACACAUUUUUAGAUUGACUUCUUUUAUCAUUAUUUAAACCCCUUUCCUAUCAUAAAUAGUGAGAAUUUUUGAUUUUUUGCUAAUAUUUUAAUAACACUUUUUUCCUCGUUUUGUUUACGACACGUAAUUUUUCAGGUAUAUCUAAUUAAAAGAUAACUUUUUGCAAAAAAGUAGUUUCUAUCAAUAUAUUGAAAAUUUUUUAAUGUGUAUUAUUCAUGUAGACGUAUCACGAUACAUAAUGCGGCACGGAGACAAUCGAGAAAAUCUUUUCAUGGCCACUACGAAGUCACGUAGUACUCGUACGUGCAGCAACAGGUGUGACGCAACAGGUAAUCAAAUGCCAGUAUUACGAUUUACUUUUCGUCGAAUCGAUUGUCUUUCUUCACUUGUCCGCGAUUUGAGAUUACAUCCCCGACACUAUUAUUUCUUGAUGAUCGUUUCAUUGAAGAAUGCGAGCUUACUUGGACGAUAAAAAAAAAAAAAAAAAAACCAACGUGUCGCGUGUAGUUUUUCGCAAUGCAAAUUCGAUAUUUCUUUAUACGUAAAAAGAGAACGGGAUAUCAAAGCUGUAGUUAGAUAAUAAAUUGUCAAAAAAAUCACGCCGAGCAGUUUGGAAUAAGUUUCGUGCGAAAUUUUGUUCGCGGAUUUCUCUCUGAUUUUGCCGAUUCCGCGUACAUACAUGAGACCCCGAACGGGGAAUCUUUCACGGAGCUGUCGACGGAGCUUUUUCCGAGUGAGCGAGGCACCGGCGAGAGCGAUGAUGACGAAGAGUGCGGCAUUUACCUGCCUUAGCCGCGCGCGACAGGUGGUGUGUGACACGAGUUAAGCCGCGUUGCGAAUCUGCCUGAGGACCUUGACGCGGCCUUUUUUUACCUUCCCGGGCAUUUUCUAUGUGCUUCUGCCAUCGCGCGGAGUCCGUUUCCGGUUGGCUCCUCCGUCUCCCCCGUUACGCUCUCCUCUCCUUGCCGGCCCUCCUCGCCGUCCCGUCGUCGUCGUCGCCGCCGCCUCGGCCGUCAUUGUCGCGCCGCGACGAAACGGGCAUUUCGCUCGAAGCAAAUGCGCCUCCCCGUGACUCUCAUCCGCGACGCUUUGCGGCGUGUUCUUGCACAGGAGGAGGUCGUUGCUCGUUGCCAAGCGGUUGCCUGCCACGUGUAUGCACGGCGCCACCGCGACUCGCGGGAAGUAAGGAGAAUAGGGGCGGGCUAGCUGCUGGCCUCGUAAUGGUUUGCACGAAGCGGAAUUUCAGCUGAAGAAAUUCGUGCCGCAUCAGGCGUGGAUUAUUUCGAGGAUACAACUCGAUCAUUUGGACAUGCAAGAAAUUCGAACGUCUUAGAAAUACGAAGUUUAUACUACUUAAAGAUUAUUAAUAGGAAAAUAAAUUAGAGUUAAUGUGACAGUUUUUAGAAAGUUUUUAGUGCUUAGGCGUCACAGAUAAGCGUUAGUGAUUUAUAUAAUGGAGCGGAGACUUACUUAGAAAUAUAGUGUGGAAAGUUACACAAAUGUUACUUUUUCAGCGAAUUAUAUUACGCGUCUCCGCGAGGGGUCGAGGAGCAAAAUAAUUCUUGUCUUACACGCGCAAAGCUGGCAGGAGGCGCGAUGCCGGCAACGUGGGUUGCUCGGUCCAUAUGUAAGUCUCUCUCCAAUACGUACGUGUGCUUGAUGUUUAUAAACUGAUAGCCGGUGUCGGUGGACGUUUUAGUGCCGCGCAGCAGAGAAUGAUUUCCUGGGCUUAUCGCGCCGUAAGGCCGGACGCUGUGUAUGACACGGGAGCUCCACGGGCCUAUUGCUUAAAUCCCCCGUGAAUUCUUCCAGUGCCAUUUACAGAAUCCAAGCCGGUAGACAAGCCGGCGGGAAAGUCGCGCGAGGAAUUUCCAUCCGUUGUGAUUGCGCCUCGCUGAAAGAAACUUCGAAAGGUAAUAAUCGAUACCGGUGGCCUUCGAGUGGCGAUAUGUCGCAACGUCGUUCCUUUAGAUGCAUGCGCGCGCGAUCGAUACGACUCGCUCUACUCGAGACUUUAUCUGCAACAGCGAUUUAUAUUAUUUCUAAAUAUUGUGAGCGAUACGUACUUUAUUCCGUAACUGUUGUCGGAUUCGACGUCGCACUGAAAGACAAGCCCGGAAUAAAUCAAAGCAAAGAUGGUGGCGUGAUAAAGCGAACGUUGAACGAUCGUAACAAAACGAUACAAAGGCUAUUAAUCUCGUUGUACAAUUAUGACAGCGGAAAUAGAUUUCGAUAUUAAUAGGCCGAUAGCGCCCAAGUUUACUUUGAAAAUUUCGAGUCAUAAAUCAGACGGGAAACGGGGGACCGGAACGGGGUCAGUUCGAUUCGUUUCCGCGAGGAGGAAAAAAAAACGGAGUCAAGGGGGUGGACGAAGCGCAGUCCACCUCGAAGGCAGUCCAAAGCCUGUCGACUGUUUCUUUUUCUUUUCCCCUUCUUGCUCUCUUCCGUCACGGAUCGAUGACUCUUCCCGGAAGCCGCGUCUGCUAGAUCUCUCGCGGAGCGCGCCGUGAUUUGUUCUCCAGGCGUUCUCCACGCUCGUCCUUCAAACUCUACUUGCGUCUCGUCCCGAGUCUCUCUCUCUCUCUCUCUCUCUUUUUAUUUCUGCUCGCCUCUCGCGAUUUGCCCGCUCCCACCCACAAAAUCAUUCCCACCGAUUCCUCAGGUUCGACCAGAGCCGAGUGCUGUCUGCUUUUUCACGUCAAGUUGUACCACCUCCUAUCCUCUCCGUCUUACCGCAGGCUAUAAUCUAGUCAAGUAUUCAUCUAUCCGUUCGUGUCUUUCCCCCGGUCGUUUCUGCUGUAGAUCAGAAAUCACUUUUAGUUAUAAAUAUCCUUCCUUACAUAUAUAUUUAUUGAUAAACUUGAGGUCGGGUUUUUGUGACCAAAAAGAUUUCAGAUAACAAAAGACCGACUUCAAUCAAGCACCAUAACUUCUCUUACAUUUUCUUGUGUUAUGCUAAUUUUUCACGGUCAUCCCGUUGUGAAAAACGAGAGACGAGACGACGAGCCGACUCUCAUCGUUUCAUUUAAAAUGAUCGAUUACACCGAUGAUCAAGGGAAUACCAAGAAGCUAACACCUUGGUUAUCGAUCUCUCGCAUCGAGAAUUCCCUAUCCCUUUUUCUUUUGCCCUUAAUGAAUCCCGUAGUGCGCGCUGUUACGAGGCGCAGCCUGAUUUAAUUCGUUUCAUGCCGAUUAAGAUAAAAUCACGAUCGUCGAAAAUGAUCGACGUGCCGUUCACGGAGGAAUUGAUUUGGCGUAUAACGUAGCGAAAUAAUUUAUUUAUGGAGCGCGUAAAAGGAAAUAUAUAUCCGAGGGAGUGACGUAGCUUCAAGUUUUCCCGCGCGGUUCUCACGAUUCGAAUCUUCACAGUGCACCGUGUAUGUAGUUGCGAUUCUUCGCCGACUAUCUGCGAGUCCUCUCUCUCUCUCUCUCUCUCUCUCUUUCUCUCUCUUUCUCUCUCCUUCAGUUCUCAAGCCAUUCUUCCGGUCAUGCCAUCAUUCUGGUUCUCACGGUUUAUUCGAACAUCGAGAAACGGCGGCGCGGAAAUAAUGGCUGCUCGCAGAAGUCUUUUAAGCGGUUAAAUGCUCUGUACGGAGAUUAUUACUUCGGAAAUAAUCUGAUAAUAAAAAUAAUCGGAAUUGCAUUCCUCUGUUUAGCCUUGUCGUGGCGAUUUUUGUUGGUUCGUCUUAUCGAGUCCGCACCAAGUCGUAAAAAAAAGAUGUUAAGUAUAUCAGUCGGAAUUAUUCGUCGAAGUUAUUCGACGAGAGAUACGCAUGCGUGUUUCUUUAACAACAUUGCAGUCAUUAGAAACUAAUUUAUUUCCAGAGUAUUUUGCGUUAUGAUACUUAAAACAAAGGGAGAUUUCGUAAAUAUUAUAAAUUAAGAAAAGAAUUUUAUGCAGAUAUUUAAAUUUAUUUUUGCUUUAGAUAAUACUUUAAUAAUAAAUUUUAAUAACAAGUAAACGUUAUUGACAUUAUUUAAUCGCGUUUCUAAAUUUCUUAUUAAGAUUAAUAUUGCAAAAACAAAAAAUGUCAAAAAUGUAAACACUGUUACUCGUUAUAGUCAACGUUACAUUAACUACACACAAUUGACAGUUACAGAUUUCUUUUUAAUAUAUGAAAAAAAACUUGUCUGUCGAGAUCGAGUCAAAUCAUAAAAUUUGUGUACGCCUCGCAAAUUGAGACGCAACGGUUGUCGGGCCGACGGGGGUCCGUUGAUUUGUGUAAAUCAAGAUACACAAUGGCCGCGAAAACACAAACGCGUGUCUCGGGCAUGCUUAAGCCCCCAUUUCGCGAUCUCAUAACUCUUCGAACAGGUUUCGUGUGACCUCGACUUCUCUUCUCGUUGGAAUGCCCGCUUCUCCUCUUCUUCGUCUCUUUCCUUCGCGAUCCGCGCUACGAUCCGAAGCGCGCGAUUUUGACUCUUCCGCCUUUCGAUCGGUGAUGAAUCUGUAUCGAAGGCACGUGAUUAAGGAGAAAAUCAUCCCGUAUAGUUGGGCGGUCGUGCGCUCGUGCUCUCCUCAUCGCCGAAUUACCUCAUUAACCUACAUUCGCCGGUCAUCAGUGCCGACGAUCGGCGGUGGAAUAAUUGAUUGCGCGCAAAAUACGUUAGCGUAAUGUGCAUCCCAAGGCGAGAUAAAUAAUCAAGAGUGAAAUCUUUGUAUCGUAUCUGAAGCACGCUUUCUAAUCCGCGUCGCGCAUUUUUCUGCGUCUGUUUUAUUUUUACCGGGGAUAGGAAGAGAGAGAGAGAGAGGAAGAAAAAGAGAGAGAGAGAGAGGGUUCAGCUGGCACGUUUCGAGCACGUGAAAAAACGGCUCUACAUCCGCAAAUUCGUGCGCGAUGCGCAAUAUAAGUAUCGUUGCUCUCUCGCCGAGAGCUGCGGGAGAAAAAGUCGGAGCGGACAAAAAAGUCUCCUUCUCUCAGAGAUUGGAGACUGAACACCCUGGUACCCAUGACGAAAGGAUUUCACAGUGACGCAACGCGAUAUCUGGGACGAGAGAAUAGAUGAAUGGGGAAGGAGAGGAUAUAAUUGGUGGUGGGUGGGGUGAAGCUGUGAAGACAAUAAAAUAUCAAACGGUCCCCGGGACAAGGGCCCCGAGACACUGUUCCGCUCUUCGUGACUUUCGUAAUCGUAUUAAAUCACGACGUCAGGAGAGAGAGAUACGUUGCUGCGAACAAUAUUACUGCGAGCCGAUAAAUUGCGGUAUUACGGUGUGCAUUUGCAUAUUUGCAAAAGUGACAUACGCGACAGGCUAAAGGCCAGAAAAUCUGCACUUAUAAUUCCGCUCGGUAUGUUUCUCAUGCCGCACGCGGAGUUAUGUAAUUUCUAACGGCAGAAAGAAAGAGACAGAAAGAGAGAGAGAGAGAGAGGAACCUCACGAGACUAUUUGCGUAGAAUUUCUUGAGCCGUUCUCGCACGAUAAGUUCUCGAUAACCGUCGCGUUACGUUUGAUGUAUCGAGGCUAUUUGUAAUCCGUACCGGUGCUCGCCCGCGCAAAGUAUCGAUGAUUCGUCCCAUCAUUUCGCGACGAGAAACUCAUUUUCGUAUUUACGUAAUCGUGGGAGCGGGGAAAGGGGCGCGUUGUACGACCGGUCGUAUCGACAAUCGACGAAAUGGCCCAGCGUUUCGUCCACGAUGGAGUUCAUUUCUUAUUCCGCGACUUCCCAGUGUGCCGAUGUUUUUCGCGCCGAGGUCGGAGCCGGCGGAUAACGGUCACCGGUACUGGAGGACACUGACCCGAUGAAAAUCUCGGAUAUACAAGAAAGAGAAACCGUUGGGAACGUGCCCCUUUGCGAGCACGGCGAAGAAAUAGAUUUCACCGGCGAUCGUUACAGCCGAUAAUAAAAACACCGAGAGACAUUUAAAACGGGAUACGAUCGUUUCUCUCUAGCCUCUAGCGAAGAUCGCGCGCGUUACGAUUUCGCCCGAUCUGGAAAAAAAAAAAAAAA